AGACUUCUUGCUGAUGUUUAAUGCUGAAACAUCCUCAAAGAUGCUUGAAAGGUGGGAUACAUCCUUCAGGUCAAAGGUUAUUGCAGAAACAAAACACUUGACUUCAUCAGCAGAACUCUGCUCCCUUGUGAAAGCAGCUGAACAGCUUGAAGAUGCUGAAACUAACUGGGACAGUGAUACGGCCUAACUGCUGUUGCUUCUCCAUCUCCUGCCACCUGCAGCUGGACGCAGGAGGGUCAAAAUAAACCCCACUGAUGCUGUGGACAAACUCGUGCAUUUUCACAAGGCUUGCUGCAGCAUUGAUGACCACCUGAAGGGAAGAGAAGGUCAGCAGCCAUACCUGCUUGCUGUUGGCAGAACCAAGAGUGCAAUUGACAGGUUCUACAUUGUUGUGGACAAACAGCUCAUCCCUUGCCAAG